UGUUGGUUCUCCCGCAACGCUAUUCUGUUUACCAGGUCAGGUCCGGAAGGAAGCAGCCAAGGCAGAUGACGCGUGUGCCGGGAUGUAGCUGGCAGGG
rnacentral:SRP_RNA from 7 species